rnacentral:rRNA from 1 species
AUGUCCUGCAUCCAUGGCAUCCUGGCCAUGGAUGGCCUCCACGUCGCCCCCUGCGACUUGUAUCUACGUUCCCCGGAAACCCUAGUCGUCUCUCGACUGUUUCCCCCUCUUUCCCCAUCGAGCCUCCUCCUCCUCCUCUGCUCGGAAUCGAGCUGGAAACCGAGUGCGGCGACCACGCUGUUCGCCGUCGUUGCCGAGGCCACCGUCAUCGCAGUUGCUUGGGAGCAUAUCUCGGGGAUGCGCCUUCAUCGGCCCCAUCACCUUCGCCCUUUGGAUCGAGCAGCACCGCAACAACGCCACUGGAUCAACGCGUCUUCCUUGCCUACGGCCACCGCUGCCCCGCACCUGAUCUACCUCACUGGAACUCCUCUGCCACGCCGGUUGCGUCCUUCGCCUCCCCCCCGUGAGCGCCACUCCCAUUCCCCUCGACCCCCCUCUAUUCCAUCGCCGUUUUGUCGUGGCUACGUGCUGGCCGUCUCCGCGCGCGCCCCUGCUAGCCAGUGCCUGCCCGCGUCCAUCCCCGUACCGCGCCCCCGUGUGUCCCCGCGUGCGUCGCCCGCGUCCGUCCGUGCCUCCGCGCUAGCACGCGUUGCCCCGGGUCACUGCUGUUGCUGCUGCACUACUCAGCCACCGCUGCUGCUCUGCCCGCCACUCCCGCUCCCUAUUGUUGCUGCUGCUGCUUAUAGCCACGCAUCGCGUCCAUGCGCCAGCCCGCGCACGCCCAGCCGUUCUCGCUCCUCGUGCCAGCACCUCCCGCCCCGCCCCAGCGCGCCGCCACCUCCCACUCCGCCCCAUCUUAUCGAUGCGUUCGGGCAGGGCGCCGCCGCCGCCGCCAGCCACUCGCCCUCCCAAUCCCAUCUCGAACUCCACCGCGCCUCCACUCCCGCCCCGCGCCAUCUUACCGAUGCGUUCGAGCAGGGCGCCGUCGCCGCGCGUGGCCGCGCGGCCAGUUUUCUUCUUUGUCUAUCCGUUCUGGGGGCGCUCGACAUCGCCGUGCCGCCGAUCUGCCGGCUUCGCCGGAACUCCGUUUGUCAGCAUCUUCUCCACCCCUUGGGUUGUGAGGAAAUCAGUAUAAAAUCUUUGUUGUCGGAGUUCCCUUGGAACUGCGCAGAAGAUGGGGUGAUGGAUUCAGUGUCAAGAUUCAAUGAAGAUCCAUCUGUUCGUGGCCUGCUUGUUCACCCACUACUACCACAAGCAAUGUAUUUUAGGAUGCUCGCCGCCGCCGCUGCUUCUGACAACGUAGAAGAUUUCUGUUUACAUGUAACUGCGCUGAACUCUGCUUAUAUUUCUCUAUGCGCCGCAAAGUUCAAGCAGUUGUCUUCGGCUAUCACUAUGAAUGGUUCUGCUGUUGUGUGUUUGUUCUAUUAUGUUCAUCGGAAGUCUUUACGGAGGAGUUGGGUCUGGGAUAUUUGUAGAGGCUAUUCGCACCGUAGUUCAAGGCAGAUGAUAGAGUACAGGCUAGGCAACUCACUUAUAUUGGCCGAGCCAAAUCCCCCUAGCCGCCGCCGCACCACUCCCGGACGCGGCCGACCUCAACUCGCCCGCCGCCGCGGCUGCACCUCUGCCCGCUCACGAGCCUCCACCCGCGCGCUCAGCUCUGGGACACCCGCGACGCACCGCGCGCGCCCUCCGCUGCCAAACUGCGCCGGCUGCGCCGACCGCCGCGCGCCGUCGGAUGGCGGCGGUGGACCCUCUCUCAUGGAGGAUUACACCGGCUGCCCCGCGCUAGCCGAGAUCAUCCGCAUCCUCUCCGCCCGCGUCCGCUUCUUCCCGUGCGACCUCCUCGACGGUGCCGCCAUGCUCGCCGCCGGGCGCGGCUGCUACGGCAUCUUCCACCUCGCCUCGCCCUGCACCGUCGACCGCGUCCUGGACCCCCAAGUACUGCUGCUCCGUGACCGUCCUGCCGUUAUUCCUUCAGAGUUUAGACCUCUCAGUACGGGGUGGCGUCUGUCUCAUUUUGUGGUUGCAGAAGGAGCGGGUAGCGCCGGCCGUGGAAGGGACGCUCCAUGUGCCUUCCUUGGAGCCGGCGCCGACCGGCCUGUGCCCCCUCCCCGCUGCACAAAAUUUGCUUCUUUGUCCCCACUUUGCUGCAAAAACUCUGUGCCUCUGCUACGGCCAUUCUUCGCUCCAUGGCCUUCCAUGAAUCUCAACCCUGGCAACUGGAAUAAACACAGCUGCUUGCUGGUAUCUCCACUUUUCAGCUGGGCUUUGCAGUUAUCUCAGUUUCUAUCUUUUGUUGGCCAGAUGAUUCCGCCAAGGAUCAAUGCUAGCAUGGCCAUGUUUCUUCACUUGAAGGUUAGCAAUAAUAUCAUGAGUAGCAGACUGAAGCAGGGGCAAUUCAUGAACUUGGUGGACCAUAGUGGCUUCACUGCUGGCGGAACGGCAGAGGGCUUGGCUGCUACCAGGGUGAUUCAAAGGGAGUAUAUAGCACGGGUCCUCUUCCUGGGGACGGCACGGCAGCGCCGCCAUGAAUCAAGCCGCCGCGCGCGGCCGGUAUACCUUUCCCGCUACCCUCCAGCACCGCGGCCGUUGCCCUUUUCUUCCCCUCCUCACCCGCCCCAACUCCUCACCCCCAGCCUCCUCGGCCUCAACUCGGACGUCUCCGAUUUGGAUAGGAUUCGACGUCGCCACGCGCGGCCGGUCUUCCUCUCUAGCUAUCCUCCAGCAGCGCCGCCGUUGCCCUGUUCUUCGCCUCCUCACCCGCCCCAACUCCUCACCCCCAGCCUCCUCCGCCUCGAGGAGGACGGCUCCGAUUUGGAGCUCAAGUACUGCCUCCUGACACCUCCAUCCCCAAGUACGUCCUCCCGUCAGACGAGGACGAGGUGCGGGUUGUUGGCUGAUCAGGAUACCCAAUUCUCAAACAAGCAUGCUGAGAUGCUCAAGAUAUGGAAGUUCGCCCACAAGCUCGACCGCCAGGUGAACAUGUCAAAGGUGCAGAUGGACAUGAUGAAGCCGUGA